UUUGGGCAGGAAUUCGUAACGGGGCUGUAGGAAGAAGUACUGGAAGUAAGGCUGGACUGGCAACAAAUCCACACUGUGUUUUGGCAAAAGAGGGACACGGUUAGGUUGAUUACUCCCCUGUCUUGUAGAUGACAGGGACUGAUUUGGGGCCAGCACCCCAAAGGCUUCCUCCCAAAGGUGCUGGGCGGAGUUGGGGUGGGCGGGACUGCACACGCGUGGCUCUGUCACCCCCGUGUCACAAUGCCAGCACCCGGCAAUGCAGCGCUCACAAUGCCCCGAGCAGGACCAAAAGGAGCAGCCGGGUCCCGUGUCCACUGCCAGAGCUGGCCCGGGGGCAGCCGCAACACAUCCCACAGGAAGCACUUGAGGAGCUGGUGGAAUCACAGGGCAGGGGCUGAGGGAGGAAGAGCUUGCAUGAGGCUGCUGGAGGUUCUCCACUGCAAGGUGAUCUGCGGGCAGGGCCACCAUCCAAGCUCAGCUCACGGAUGGAAAUCCUUUUGAGCUGGAUAGCAGUGGAGAGACAAAGGGCAUUUCUUCUGUGCUUGCAACACCCACUGGUGUCCCACCAGGCACAGGAAGGAGUCUUGCCCCCAAGGACCAUCAGCUCAGAGGCAUUUGGGCACUCUCGGAAGUCCGGGAGAUGGCUCCGGCUCGAGGUAGGACAGGGUAGGACAGGCUAGGGCUUAGGCAGGUCCUGGGAGGCGUGAGCAGCCUGUGGGACGAGGAGCCAGGUCUGGCUCACAUGCUCAGGGAACAGCCGAUCGCCAGCACUGGGGUCAGGAAGGAAUUUUUUCCCCCGGGGCAGAUUGGCACUGGUCCCCGGGGGUUUUUUGCCUUCCUCUGCAGCACUGAGCAUGACCACUUUGCACAGCUCCUCUGGGCCCUUUUGGCUCGGUUCCUGCCUGCUGCUCAAGCACCAGGAAGAUGGCCUCUCGUGCCCCGCAGCUGGGGGGAGGAAGGCUUUUUUUCCCCCCCAGGUGGGACAGCAAGCGUCUCCGGGGGUUUUUCGCCUUCCUCUGCAGCGCUGAGCACGGCCCCUUGCCACGGCUUCUUUGGGCCUUUUGGGCUGGGCGCCUGCUGCUCCACGAGGUGGCCCUAAACUUAGCUAGAACAGCCUACCUGAAUCAGCACAGAACAACUCACCUAAACCAAUCUUAAACAACCUAAACCAGUCUGCCUUCAAAAACUUCAAUCAGCCACCAACAACCUAAGCAGAACCUUAAACAAUCUACAACAAAUUACCUAAACCAAACAAAAGAAACCAACCAAAACACCCUAAAACAAACCUACCCAAAACCAAAUGAUCUAAAAUAUCCUACCUAAAACAAUCUAAAACUACAUAAACCGGCAUUUCUCAGCCAACCUUAAGCGACCUGUAACCAAACAAGCUAAACAAACCAAAACCAACCAA